GGUAAACGAAGAGUCGAUCAUCUACACUCUAGAGCGACGAUGAAAACAUCUGAAAAAAUUGUUGCUCUGUUGGGUAUCUUAUUCAUCGCUGCUCUCCUGGUUGAUCAGGCAACUUGUUUUGUAACAAAACACCAAAGGAGAGAGUUUGAGAUGAAACGUGCAACGAGGGAGAUUUGUGCUGCAGCUAGAUCAUUGAACUGUGAGGGCCUGGCAAAGAGGGAAUUUCGUGACCCCGAUGACAGCGCAAAGUAGAACGGCUCCUUGCAAUGACGAGCGGCCGUAAGAGGAGCAGACUUGAAUCGCGUAACAACAAGAAAAUGAUAUGAUUAGUCUAAGCUUUGAUAACGAAUAACGAAGAUAAAAUGAAACCUAUCAAUCAUGUAAAUUGAAAAAGAAUAAAUAUCUGGCAUAAAGGAAUAAA